rnacentral:piRNA from 5 species
CGCUAAACCAUUCGUAGACGACCUGCUUC